rnacentral:rRNA from 1 species
GUUGUUUAGUUGAAAAUCAAUUAAAUAAUUUUUGAUUUUAAGUAGUAUUGACUUCAUCAGCUUGCUGCUUUCUUUUCGGAAAUUAUUUAAUGCACUUUUCAGUUAACAAGUCAACAUCAAUUUCUUUUGUUGUAAAAGGGUAAGAGGAAGGUGGCUUACAUUUCGGUGUAAGUGUUUAUAGCCUUUUACCUCUGCAAUCGGAGAGAUUGAGGUCAGCAGCGUAGACUCUUCGGGGUUAGAUACACUUGUGCUAAGCUAUAGCCUUGUAUAGACAACUUGUUGACUAUGCUCAGUCAUGUAGCUUACUCGCUUGUAGUAUUUUACCUAC